rnacentral:rRNA from 1 species
AUUGAACGCUGGCGGCAGGCCUAACACAUGCAAGUCGAACGAGUGGCGGACGGGUGAGUAAUGUCUGGGAAACUGCCUGAUGGAGGGGGAUAACUACUGGAAACAGUAGCUAAUCCCGCAUACCAUCGGAUGUGCCCAGAUGGGAUUAGCUAUUAGGUGGGGUAAAGGCUCACCUAGGCGACGAUCCCUCACUUGUCUGAGAGGUUGACCGUCCACACGGGAACUGAGACACGGUCCAGACUCCACGGGGAGGCAGCAGUGGGGAAUGUUGCACAAUGGGGGCACGCCUGAUGCAGCAAUGCCGCGUGUAUGUAGAAGGCCUUCGGGUUGUAAAGUACGUUCAGCGGGGCGGCGUUACCCGCAGAAGAAGCACCGGCUAACUCCGUGCCAGCAGCCGCGGUAAUAC